CCUACGGGGGGCAGCAGUGGGGAAUAUUGGACAAUGGGCGAAAGCCUGAUCCAGCAAUGCCGCGUGUGUGAAGAAGGCCUUCGGGUUGUAAAGCACUUUCAGUGGGGAAGAAAGCCUUGGGGCUAAUACCCUCGAGGAAGGACAUCACCCACAGAAGAAGCACCGGCUAACUCCGUGCCAGCAGCCGCGGUAAUACGGAGGGUGCGAGCGUUAAUCGGAAUUACUGGGCGUAAAGCGCGCGUAGGCGGUCUGAUAAGUCGGUUGUGAAAGCCCAGGGCUCAACCUGGGAACGGCAUCCGGAACUGUCAGGCUAGAGUGCAGGAGAGGAAGGUAGAAUUCCCGGUGUAGCGGUGAAAUGCGUAGAGAUCGGAAGGAAUACCAGUGGCGAAGGCGGCCUUCUGGUCUGACACUGACGCUGAGGUGCGAAAGCGUGGGUAGCAAACAGGAUUAGAUACCCCGGUAGUC
rnacentral:rRNA from 1 species